AAGUCGUAACAAGGUUUCCGUAGGUGAACCUGCGGAAGGAUCAUUAGAAAGAAGGGUCAGUUUACUGGCCCGCAAUAAGAUAGGUUAGGUUACUAGUAUAGGUAGCUCCUUAUAUCGUCUUGGGACAUUGAUUAUCUCGCCGAGUUUGACAAAGCAGGAAUCGUGUCACGAAACAACAUCUAUGUGCACCGUAUAUUGCAUUCGCGUAUUUUUCAGUUAGCGUCUGAUUUUUAAAUUUUGUUUACAGCAGUAUUGCUGUUGAACUAAAUGAAAAAACAACUUUUAACAAUGGAUCUCUUGGCUCUC
rnacentral:misc_RNA from 1 species